GUCGAGGGGCAGCAUGAACUUAGCUUGCUAAGUUUGAUGGCGACCGGCGCACGGGUGAGUAACACGUAUCCAACCUGCCGAUGACUCGGGGAUAGCCUUUCGAAAGAAAGAUUAAUACCCGAUGGCAUAGUUCUUCCGCAUGGUGGAACUAUUAAAGAAUUUCGGUCAUCGAUGGGGAUGCGUUCCAUUAGGUUGUUGGCGGGGUAACGGCCCACCAAGCCUUCGAUGGAUAGGGGUUCUGAGUGGAAGGUCCCCCACAUUGGAACUGAGACACGGUCCAAACUCCUACGGGAGGCAGCAGUGAGGAAUAUUGGUCAAUGGACGAGAGUCUGAACCAGCCAAGUAGCGUGAAGGAUGACUGCCCUAUGGGUUGUAAACUUCUUUUAUACGGGAAUAAAGUGAGGCACGUGUGCCUUUUUGUAUGUACCGUAUGAAUAAGGAUCGGCUAACUCCGUGCCAGCAGCCGCGGUAAUACGGAGGAUCCGAGCGUUAUCCGGAUUUAUUGGGUUUAAAGGGAGCGUAGGCGGACGCUUAAGUCAGUUGUGAAAGUUUGCGGCUCAACCGUAAAAUUGCAGUUGAUACUGGGUGUCUUGAGUACAGUAGAGGCAGGCGGAAUUCGUGGUGUAGCGGUGAAAUGCUUAGAUAUCACGAAGA
rnacentral:rRNA from 1 species